AUGCCUGCCAUAGAUGUGGGCGAAACGUCAGGAGAGAAUACUUCUGGAACAUGGCCACACAGCCCGAAAGACAUACAACAACCCUGUGAUCCCGGCCAUGAAAGCCUUCGACAACACAUAGUCCAAACAAGACAUCAAGAAUUAAUCCAAGGUAUGAGUCAAACUGGAACACAGGAAGCCAAAGCUGGAACACAGGAACAAAUCUUCAAGUUUAGUCCAAGGUACAAGGUUAAUGCUGGAACACAAGGCAAGGGUCUUGGUCAGAGCAGAAAUCCAAACUGCAAGGUUACUGGAACAUUCAACUGGAUACACAGAAAUACCCAGAAACAAGAACAAGGCUGGCACUAGAAUCAAGAUACAAAACUGCAGGAAAUAACAUGGAAUUCACAGGAGCACAAAGCAGAUAUCUUCCUCUCUUGGAUAAGCAAAGUUACCACCUCUGACUCUGUCAGAGAAAGUAGCCUUCUUAAGGGAAAUUCAAGGUCUCUUCCUGUGAGAAGUCUGCUCAUUAUUUAGUUCAAAAGCAAUUGUUUACCUUCUUCUGACACACACCCAUUCUUUCCCUUUGCUGAGUUAUCACCUUCCUUCUGUCAAGCUCAUUAGCCCUAUCCGCCUUAUCACUUUUAGAAUCCGAACUAGAAUGUCCAUCUGGCACCAAGAGCUCCAACCUUAACUCCUUUGAGGAAUGUGGUUCAAGCUGCCUGCUUGAAACCAUUAUUUCUCUAGUCCCGGAAUCCACUUUCAUAGGUAUGUCAAUAUUUUUGUGUCAGCUCACCACAGCCGCUCCUGAAUGAACACACGAGACUCUCUGUGAUAUCACCAGAAACUUUACUGCAGGAAACAUAAACAUCCGAAAAGCCAAGAAUGGGAGACUCCGGCCAACCAUCCUUUAUAUACCCUCCCCCUCAUUUGAAAAGUCUCUUCCCGCUCAGUAAAACCCCGCGCAAAUUCCCCGCCAAGUCCAGCAGCCGUUUCUUCUCCGAGUUCUGAGACGCAGGUGUCUUAUCAAUGUCAGUGACCCUGAAACUCAGAGCCACAUACAGGCUCUAGUAGCAGGGUUCUGACAUGGCGUCCUCCUCCCCUUCGUCCUGGAAGGAAAAGAUUAAACACAACUAUUGUUCUCCGCUGUCCAGAGUUCCUUUAUACUUUUUUAACAGGCUGCAAUGGAAUAGCAGGGUGUACCUUUCCUAGGUCCUUGGGUAGCCUCA
rnacentral:lncRNA from 1 species